UAGCUCAGUCAGUAGAGCAUGAGACCCUUAAUCUCAGGGUCAUGGGUUUAUGCCCCAU
rnacentral:tRNA from 1 species